rnacentral:sRNA from 1 species
GCGGCCGCCCGGGUGCCCAACCGAGCGCACGUGCGCCAGCGGGGCCCGAGCAGAAGGGGAGCCCCGGAUCUCGCGAAGAAAAUGGAGAGCGACCCACGGGUUAGGGGUCAGGAAAGGCCUGGGGCGCAUUAUGCCCUGGGAGGGGAAAGCACAGAACAAGAGGCUCUGAGGGACGGAGAAAAAGGAGGGCGGCCCACGAGCUAGAGCAGCCCGACGGCCAUGGAGGCUGAAGAGACGAUGGAAUGCCUUCAGGAGUUCCCUGAACAUCAUAAAAUGAUCCUCGACCGAUUGAAUGAACAGCGAGAGCAGGACCGGUUUACUGACAUCACCCUAAUUGUCGACGGACACCAUUUUAAGGCUCACAAGGCUGUUUUGGCGGCUUGUAGUAAGUUCUUCUACAAAUUCUUUCAGGAGUUUACCCAAGAACCUUUGGUGGAGAUAGAAGGAACAAAGAAAACUCAGCUCCAUUAGAGGAAAAUACCACAGGAAAAAAUGAGGCCAAAAAAAGGAAGAUUGCAGAAACUUCAAAUGUUAUCACUGAGUCAUUGCCAUCUGCAGAAUCAGA